UGAAGAAGGGUUUCGGCCCAAAACGUUACCUAUCUCCUUCGCUCCAUAGAUGCUGCUGCACCCGCUGAGUUUCUCCAGCAUUUUUGUGUACCUUUUAUGUGAUUUAAUUGCUUGUUUUAUUUCCUACCUACAAGUCAGUACACAGGAAUAGGAAACUCUUGGAUGAUGGACAUUUUCUUUUGGCUUACUUGUAAUCUGUCACUUUCAACUGGACAGUAUAUCUUCCUGUGGUGUGGAUCCAAGGAGUAAAUCCAGUAUGCCAAGUUAGCUAAAAUUGGAGCCUUUAAUUGCAACUUACCUGUGUCAAGCCUCUUUUUAAUAUAAAAUCUAUUGUCCUAUUAAAUGUUACAUACCCACUAAAAAUCAGUGAUUACUGCAUAUGUGGAGCCUAAUAACUGCCCAGUUUCAAUUUUCACGUUUGGAGAAUGUUAUGCAUUUUGGGUCCAAAGUGGAUGACUUUGCACUUCCCUUGCAUUAAAUCCUCUUCUAUUGUCUUUUUCUAUUUCAAUGUUUUUUCAAAUUUCAUCUAGAAAUGGGUGCAAAACAAUUGCAGACAUCUGUUUUAGAUGUAUUGAAUUAUGUUAGUGCAUGCAAUGUAUUUGUGAUGAGCAUUGUCUUUUUUUUUUUUAAUUCCUGGUUUGUCUUUAUUUUAAGGCUGUUUUCAAAGCGAAGGAAAGCAUGGUAUUUUUACUUAAGAUGUGUAUAUUCCCCAUCAUUGCACAAUGAAAAGUCUUGGCAUGUUAUAUCAGUCCUUGCUGGAAAGCAGUUCUUACUAAGGAAUGCUAAUUUCCUUAAAUUCGAUUUAUCCAUUUAGUCAUGUAAACCAACAAUUGGUAAUAUUACAACUAGUCUCACUUUUUUUAUAUUUGUACAAAUUGAGCAUAAAAUAGGCAAUUUCUAUUAUGGAAUUUAUUGAUCCCUCCAUUGCACAAUGAUCUAACAAAUGGAUAUGUGUUCAUUCCUCAUUCCAUGUGAGAAUGAUGUACUAAAUUUAAUUUUGAAAAUUUCAAGAAAUUAAUUGAGAUAUGGUAAGUUUUUUAUUUUUUGAAGAAUUUAUUCUGGUGGUUUAGUAUUGCCUUGCUGAUAUUAAGGAUAUAUAUAUAAUCAACCUAAAGUGGGAUUGGAGGUUUCGUAGGCAAGACUGGGUGGUGAUGGCUCGUUCCUUUACUUGGAAUCUUGACACAAAUACAAACCCAUUGUACCCGACAAUAUUAAGCAAAUUAGGCUUUUACAACAAACCAGCUUGUGUGAGCACACCCUUUUGCUGCUGGCUCACAAAUUGGCAAAUUAAUUUUCAUGACUAAUAGAAUUUAGUCCAACAAUUAAAAAUCAAGUACUAUAAUUGCUAGAUUAUAGCAAUCUGAUUAUUGCAUCUGAAAUAAUUUACUAAGAUUCUAUUUAUUAUUAAAAAAAAAGUUGCUGGUGGUGAUAUACUGAAAUUUUAGUGAUGAAUAUAGAUCUGUGAUGGGAAGCAGAGAAAAUUGGAGGCAAGACUUGGACUUGUAUUUCGAUUGCAGGAGGUUUCAGUCCUGGAAGAAUGCAACAGUGAGGUAGGUGAAGGAAAAGGGAAUGAAAUGGAUGCAUCCAAAUAUAUUUUAAAAAGAAAAGCAUCAUUCUUUUUUUUGAUUAAAUUUGACCAACCAAUAUAUUCUGUACCAGUUAAAACUGACUUGCAUUACUCUGCCUUUUGGCAUAAGGAAGCUGAAUUUGAAGAGCCGUGUUAAGCGCAGUGGGAAUGUGGAGGCUAUGGUAUUUAUUUUCAGAGUGACAUGACCUUUGGCAUUUUGAUCAGCAAUAAAAUAAAUCAUACUCUUUAACAGAUAACAAAUUGAGAUUUACUUUUGAAAUUGUUUUUCUGAAUCUUUUAGUUCCAUUGUGUGUAAUGGCAGUUAUGUAUUGCUUCCUUAGUAUGGAAAUAUUUUGCAUUGUUGGUCACUUGCAAUCAUUAAAGGAGUUAAUGAAAAGUUGUGGCAAAUAAUGCCCAAUAAUGAGAGCAAAAGGGAUAAAUUGAGUGUGUUUGUAAUUUCAUUGAACUGUAUCAUUGACAUUUCCAGUGAAAUAAAGUUUGACUUUUUCUUGGACAGUAUCUUUUAAGGUACCAAUUGUCCUUUCACUUAUAGGUUAAUUCCCCUCACUGAAUGCACAGCAAGAAAACACAAACAGGAGUUUGAAAGCUAUAAAGGAUGAUUGGGGAAAAAAAAAGGAAUAGGUGCAGGGCAAUAGGAAUCGUGUUAGCUUUCUGCAAAAAGUAUUAUAUCCUGUAUGAAAUUAAAAUAUUAAGAUUUAUUUGUUUUAGUCAAUAUGUAUUUGCAAGAGUUUUAACCUGUUUUUUACAUGGUGCAGGGAGAGAGAAAAUGACUUGCACCUAUUUAAAAAAAAAAAAACUAAAACCAAUUUGAACUUCAAUCAUGUGAUGGUGAUUUUGUGGUGAUAGUUUUAGAUUGAUUUUCAGUGUUUCAUGCAUGUGGGCACUUGUGAUUCUGGUUAGUAAUCCAGAGGUCUUGACUACUUCCCUGGAUGAUGGGGGGGGGAGAGAGACAAUAUGGGGCAAAGAGUGGACACAAGAGUAAAACUAGUUCCUGUCAAGUGACAAUGAAAUUACUAGAUUGGCAUGCAAACCAAUGAUCUUCAGAUAAGACAAUCUGUCCUAAACUGGUAUGAUAGUUGUGACUCCAGACCCAACAAAAGCAACUGAGCUUCCAGAUUCCUGGUACUAUAAAUCACACUGACACCCAUCUUUGGAUCUUGUGGUACUACAGCAGUAAAAUGGAGGAAACCCGCCUCUUCAUUCUGGAAUGAAUUCAAUAAUUUCAGAUCAUUCCACUUUUGCAUCUCUAACAAUCCACUAUUGCACCUCAAAUGUUCCACUAUUUUGUGUUCUCAAUAAUCUACUCGGCUCCAGAUAAAACAUCUUUUAAACACUCGCCUCUACCAUUCAUCACAACUUGUGGCAUUCCAAUUUCUUCUGACCUAUGAUGGACAUUCCCUUUAGUUCUUUAAGUCCCUUCUUCUGUCUGCAACUUAAAUUGUAUUUUGUUGACAUGACCAUCAGUUUUACCCUGUAACUUAUCCCGUCCCCCCCACCCCAUAUCCAUGAAAUCAUUUUGAAUUUCCUGCUUAUCAUAAAUGUCUACAGUAAGUUAGUCCUAUCAGUACCUUUCGUGAUGUCAGAACAAAAGGAAUGGUAUAAAACUUCAUGCCAUUGUAAGAAUGUUCAAAUUUUAAGAUUACAUUUGGGUACCUGAGGUGCUUUACAUUGCGACGACUAUCAUUACCAAGUUGCAAUGUUUCAGGUCAAUGAUCUAUCAAGUCUGUUUGGCUUUCAACAUUACCCAUGUGACUAAGUAUUGCAGCAUUUUUAUUCCUGACCCUGCAAGAUCAUUUGACUUUUAAUUAACUUGAAAUGCUCAGAUGGAUUUCUUUUUUGGAGUUGAUAAUACAUACAUUUGAAGGAUGAGGAUUAGGCAGUUGGUCAAAGGAUAGAAAAAGAAUGAAGUGCUGGAGUAACCCAGCAGGUCAGGCAGAAUCUCUGGAAAAUAUAGAUAGGUGAUGUUUCAGGUCUGGACCCUUCUUCAGAUGGUCUGCAAAGGGCCCCAAUCCUAAUUUUCACCUAUCUAUGUUCUCCAGAGAUGCUUCCAGCUAAGUUGUUCCAGCAUUUUGCAUUUUUCUUUGUAAACCAGCAUCUGCAGUUCCAUGUCUCUGAUGUCAAUGGGUGUUAAGGACUGGAUUUCACUGCUUGAUGGGUGUUGCAAGCAGUUCCGCUCAUUGCAACUUAAAUUUUAAUUGAUUAACAUUUUUGUGAGGGGGUAUGAUGGCUGUGGGGUAAAUUUACUUGGUUCUAGUUUUAUGCAUAAUGAAAAAAUUGGCUCAAUGUACUUGAUCGGAAGACUUGAAGUGCAUGCAAACCGCAGGAUCUACUGUGGUUUGCCGUUGUAAUUUUAACAUGCCAAAGGAUUGCUGAAUGUUUAUGUUUGAUUUUUUUUUUUUGGAUCCACAGCAACAUUAAUUCAAAGUUUUGGCGAUGCACUUGACACUGAACAUGUUGGAUGUAACCUAAAAUAAUCAGUAUGCAGUUCCACGUGCAUUAUGUGGAAUAAUCUUGAGAUUUAUAAGCUUAAGGCAGAAUAACUUUUUAUAAUAGCUUAAAUAAUUUUUGCAAUUGACAUUAAAUUAUCGCGUGUGCAGUUGUUGAAAACUAGUUUGUAACUUUUACCCCUCUUGAGUAGCAGUUCUUUGUCCACGUGGUUUCUUACCAGUUUCAAUGGUGAAUACAUUUUGAUUAACCUCGAGAAAAUACUUUACUGUUGGGAUAGCAAAUUGUAUCCUAAUACAAGAUAGGAAGUAUAAAAGAUAAAUGUGUACUGCCUAAUACUUGAAAAGUAUUAAUUUAAAUAUAAUUAAAUCCUAAUAGCUGUGUUGUAUAGGGUAGCCAAAUGGAUUUGUAAUCGUAAUUAACUAUUUUGCUUUGCAAUUUACAAAGUUCAAAUCUAAAUGUUCAUGUAAUAAUACAGCUUGAAAACAAGCAAUUGAAAUCCUGCAUCUGUUAAUUUAAUAUUUUGUUUUCCAAAUCUCAUGGACAUUUAAAUGUACCAUGUUAUACUGAGGGUGCAAUUACAAGCCUGCCAGAAGUUUAUUUUAAAAAGUUCCACUCGCUGCAGAAGUACUUUGGAAUUCUACCAAGAAAGCAACCAACCCCUUACUCUUUGGCAUUUGUUUUUGUAUUCCAUUCAAAUGUUUAAUUGCUCAUUGUUAGUCAUACCCAUGGACUUGGACACAGAUGAUUAUGGUUAUGGUAUUCAAGGAAAAUAUUCAGAUGCUUCAUGUAAAUCUGAAUCCUCAAAUUUAUGCACCAUACACAAUUUCUUCAAGUUCAGGAUCACUGUUAUUGUUUCUCAUAGGAUUGUACUUCCAUGUAUCUCAACUAGAAUGGUUGCAGACAUAACAGAUUUCAGAUGUGGGGCUCAAAUAGGGAGCCUUGGAGAACAGAACAUUUGGAAGACGUGCAUAUUAAAAAAAUUGCUUUUUUGUCAACCGAGAAACCCGUGGAGUGGAAACGCAUUAAAAGUAAUUAGUGAUUGGCUAGAGAUUCAGGGUUGACAUGAGGGCAGACUUACUACACAACUCGUUCUAAUCCAGAAUACGCUGCCUGAAAUUCAGGACAGAUUCAAUUAAGGUUUUCACAAGUUAAUGUGAUAAACAUUUGAAGGGGGAAAUGUUACAGGGCAAGGGGAUGGGACAUGCCUAGAUUGCUACUGUUGGUGAGAAUGGCAUGUUACAGUAUUACAAUUGUAUGAAUUCACAAAUCUCAGCAUCAUCUGAUCAAUGCAGGCUAAUGUGCAGAUAGUGUGCAACUAAUUUUGAUCAAUAAUAUGUCUUGAACAUUAAAAUGUAUUCCUGUCCCAUCCAUUCACCUACCAGUUUAUGAUCACUGCUUAAAACAUGGAAACAGCUUUAAUUUAAUCAAUCUGAGUUCCUAAUCAUUUAAAGUAAAGAUAAUGCAAACCA